UACGUAGGUGGCUAGCGUUGUCCGGAUUUACUGGGCGUAAAGAGCGCGCAGGCGGUCGUUCAAGUCGAGUGUGAAAGCCCCCCGGCUUAACCGGGGAGGGUCGUUGGGGACGGCGGGGCUUGAGGGCGGGAGAGGGUGGUGGAAUUCCGAGUGUAGAGGUGAAAUUCGUAGAUAUUCGGAAGAACACCUGUGGCGAAGGCGGCCGCCUGGACGAUAACUGACGCUGAGACGCGAAAGCGUGGGUAGCAAACAGG
rnacentral:rRNA from 1 species